CAACCCUCAAGCUUGGCUUGGUUUUGGAGUAUUUGGGCCCUCUGGUCCCGAAGCUCUGAAAGAUAUUGGCGGCGUACCGCAGUACUCUCUAUGUAGUAAAUUAUUUUCAUAGGGCUGCUAGUGGUGCCUGUCGGCCACUAAUCGAGUCAGCGACUCAAAAUAAAAU
rnacentral:misc_RNA from 1 species